rfam:Picea glauca, whole genome shotgun sequence.
AAAGUUAAAUUAUAGUUUCAAAUUGCAUGGCAACCCAAAUCCCAAAAAGGGUGUUGGUUGAUUAAGAUAGUAGGACGGUGGUCAUAGAAGUCGAAAUCUGCUAAGGAGUGUGUAAGAGCUCACAUACCAAAUCAACUAAGCCCAAAAAUGGAUGGCGUUGAAGCACGUGACCUAUACUUUAUUGUUGAAGCAAUUGCCAAGGUUCGAUG